GACAGAGGGUGCAAACGUUGUUCGGAAUUACUGGGCGUAAAGCGCGUGUAGGCGGCUUGGCAAGUCGGGUGUGAAAGCCCUGGGCCCAACCUAGGAAGUGCACUCGAAACUGCUUCGCUUGAGUGUCGGAGAGGAAAGCGGAAUUCUCGGUGUAGAGGUGAAAUUCGUAGAUAUCGAGAGGAACACCGGUGGCGAAGGCGGCUUUCUGGACGAUAACUGACGCUGAGACGCGAAAGCGUGGGGAGCAAACAGG
rnacentral:rRNA from 1 species